rnacentral:rRNA from 1 species
AUUGAACGCUGGCGGCAGGCCUAACACAUGCAAGUUGAGCGAGCGGCGGACGCCUGUGGAAUGUCUGGGAAACUGCCUGCUGGAGGGGGAUAACUACUGGAAUCUCGAGCUCAUACCGCAUACCAUCAGAUCUGCACAAAUGGGAUUAGCUAGUAGGUGGGGUAACGGAUCACCUAGGCGACGAUCCCUAGCUGGUCUGAGAGGAUGGCGAGCCACACUGGAACUGAGACACGGGCCAGACUCCUACGGGAGGCAGCAGUGGGGAAUAAUGCGCAAUGGGAGCAAGCCGGAUGCAGCCAUGCCGCGGGUGUGAAGAAGGCCUUCGGGUUGUAAAGCACUUUCAGCGGGGAGGCGUUACCCGCAGAAGAAGCACCGGCUAACUCCGUGCCAGCAGCCGCGGUAAUAC